CACGUGUAGACAAAGGGGGACUCCACAACACAAAGCUGGAUGUGCCCUCUCAAACUUUUUUCCGCGACGCACGGCAGCGCGCGCAGAGCAAGCCAGCCUCCAGGUGGGAUUUUAACACAGAUUAACCAGCAAAGCGUUUCCUCCCGCUGCUGCUUCAGGAAAUAAAAAUGUGUGGAAGUCACAUUGGAGAUGUACAGAGUCACCUAUCAAGCGACUUUUAAGACGAAGAGGAGGAUUAAGAGGCUGUGCAGUUUUCUUUUGGAGAAGGUGAAGACUUAUCUCAUGAGGAUUUAGACUUCAGCAGAAGCAGUGCCACUCGGAUUGCGUUUUAGGCACACUUGGAAAUGUCAAACUCAUGGAGAUACUUUGAGGAUUAUAAAAAAAAAAAAAUGUGUAGUAAGACUCUCUGCAAGACACGUCCCAGGCCAAAGUCUCUGGGAUAGCAGGAUAUUGCUUUUCUGAUCCUUCCUCGGCCCUCCACAUGGAGUUUGAGACGCUGAUCGGUGGGAUGUCGACCUUCCAGGGACGCCACACGGGGAGACAGACGCCAGCGGGACCGGCAGACAUCAGGAUCAAGAGAAACUCACCCUGAAGCUACAGGAAGACCAUCGAAGAGCAACAUGGAGGAGUGUGGGAGUGGUGAGGUCUGGGAGAUCACGACCUUAAUUCUCUUCAAGACAGACGGUUUAAUUAACACUGGAGGAAUCCUCACUGACUCCAGACCCUCUACAAUGAGGAGGUGCAGGGGAAUUGGAUUGCCAAGGCCCCCUCCAUUGUAGUCCGCAUUUCAAGAAGACCACCUCACAGGGAUUUUCCUCUUCACCAGGUGCCUCACAGUGGGAAUCAGUGGGGAGGAUAACCCGGACGAGACAGGACUGUCAUGGAAGCCCUCAUGGGUGACGACUGUCUGCCAGCAAACACUGCCCGAGGGAAAGAAAAGGAGGAAGGGAAAAACUGGGAGAGACCAAGAGAGACAGAGCCAUCCUUUUCUCCUCUCUUCUGCUUCGUCCCUGCAUGAGUCGACCCGGCCUGUUGUGUUGACUCGCUUUUGUUUCUGCCCGCUUAGACUCAUCAUGUCCUUUAAUCAAGAACCUGGAGGAGAAAGAUGAAGAUCAGCAGGAAGUGAGCUGGACGGAGAAAAAAACAACAACAACAACAACAAAAAAAAAACAGGACACUUGAAAAGGAACAAAAAAGGAGAAAUGUGUAAUGUUUCCUCAGUAUUGCCAAUUUAAUUAUCUCACUGUAUGUACUGCAAGUAAAAUAUUUUACCGUAACGACUGUCUGGAGUCUGAACUGGAAGCUUAGGAUGUGCAGCCACACCAGUGUGCGCUCACAUCUUUUUACAAUUCACACACUGACAUUGUGGAAUACAUAUGCAUUUUCACUGUUUUCAAAGUGUACUGUGUUUAAUGAAAAUACUGAAGAAUUUAUGUGUGUAACAAGCUUUAAAGGCAGCAGUGGUGUUAUUCAGGAAGCAACUGUUUGGGUAACAUGAGAGGAACAGCGAUAAGCACCGUAUUCUUCUAUUUUACACGAACAUGCUUUUAUUUGUAGAAUUACAGCACUUUAGCCAGCGCCUUAUAUGUUUGAGGAUGAGGGAAACGCUUGUAGAUUACAAGUUACAAGUGUGCCGUGAUGUACCAUAUUCAUAUAUGUGCAGUGUGUCGGUUAAGAAGUAGUGAUCACAGAUUGGUCAUCGGGGAACAAAGACAACGUUAAGAGCAUGUACUCAUACAAUAUGUAAAACUCUGUGGAGAAAUAUGUCCCAACUGCGGUGCUCUCAUGACAAUAUAUGCGAAGGGUUUCACUUUCAUCACAGCACCAUCGAUUAUUAAUGAGCACUGUAUUGUUCUGUGAAAAAUGUAGGUGAUAUAAUGCUGAAUAAAGAAUUUUA